rnacentral:rRNA from 1 species
ACGCACGUGUGAAACUUGAAGGAAUUGACGGAAGGGCACCACAAGAACGCGUGGAGCAUGUGGCUUAAUUUGACUCAACGCGGGAAAUCUUACCGGGUCCGGACACACUGAGGAUUGACAGGCAAUAUUAAAUAAAGAAAAUUUUUGGACUAUCUGAUAUUUAUGUUAAAUAUGCUAGUCCUUUCAUGAUUAUGUGAUAG